UACAAUGGGCGGUANAGAGGGUUNCUACCUGGUGACAGGAUGCCAAUCCCCANAACCCGCUCUCAGUUCGGAUCGAAGUCUNCAANUCGACUUCGUGAAGCUGGAAUCGCUAGUAAUCGCGUAUCAGCAAUGACGCGGUGAAUACGUUCCCGGGCCUUGUACACACCGCCCGUCAAGCCAUGGAAGUCAGGGAGACCUGAAGACAGUGACCGUCAAAGGAGCUGUUUAGGGUAAAACUGGUAACUGGGGCUAAGUCGUAACAAGGUAACC
rnacentral:rRNA from 1 species